AGUGGCGGACGGGUGAGUAAUGUCUGGGAAACUGCCUGAUGGAGGGGGAUAACUACUGGAAACGGUAGCUAAUACCGCAUAAUGUCGCAAGACCAAAGAGGGGGACCUUCGGGCCUCUUGCCAUCGGAUGUGCCCAGAUGGGAUUAGCUUGUUGGUGGGGUAACGGCUCACCAAGGCGACGAUCCCUAGCUGGUCUGAGAGGAUGACCAGCCACACUGGAACUGAGACACGGUCCAGACUCCUACGGGAGGCAGCAGUGGGGAAUAUUGCACAAUGGGCGCAAGCCUGAUGCAGCCAUGCCGCGUGUAUGAAGAAGGCCUUCGGGUUGUAAAGUACUUUCAGCGGGGAGGAAGGGAGUAAAGUUAAUACCUUUGCUCAUUGACGUUACCCGCAGAAGAAGCACCGGCUAACUCCGUGCCAGCAGCCGCGGUAAUACGGAGGGUGCAAGCGUUAAUCGGAAUUACUGGGCGUAAAGCGCACGCAGGCGGUUUGUUAAGUCAGAUGUGAAAUCCCCGGGCUCAACCUGGGAACUGCAUCUGAUACUGGCAAGCUUGAGUCUCGUAGAGGGGGGUAGAAUUCCAGGUGUAGCGGUGAAAUGCGUAGAGAUCUGGAGGAAUACCGGUGGCGAAGGCGGCCCCCUGGACGAAGACUGACGCUCAGGUGCGAAAGCGUGGGGAGCAAACAGGAUUAGAUACCCUGGUAGUCCACGCCGUAAACGAUGUCGACUUGGAGGUUGUGCCCUUGAGGCGUGGCUUCCGGAGCUAACGCGUUAAGUCGACCGCCUGGGGAGUACGGCCGCAAGGUUAAAACUCAAAUGAAUUGACGGGGGCCCGCACAAGCGGUGGAGCAUGUGGUUUAAUUCGAUGCAACGCGAAGAACCUUACCUGGUCUUGACAUCCACGGAAGUUUUCAGAGAUGAGAAUGUGCCUUCGGGAACCGUGAGACAGGUGCUGCAUGGCUGUCGUCAGCUCGUGUUGUGAAAUGUUGGGUUAAGUCCCGCAACGAGCGCAACCCUUAUCCUUUGUUGCCAGCGGUCCGGCCGGGAACUCAAAGGAGACUGCCAGUGAUAAACUGGAGGAAGGUGGGGAUGACGUCAAGUCAUCAUGGCCCUUACGACCAGGGCUACACACGUGCUACAAUGGCGCAUACAAAGAGAAGCGACCUCGCGAGAGCAAGCGGACCUCAUAAAGUGCGUCGUAGUCCGGAUUGGAGUCUGCAACUCGACUCCAUGAAGUCGGAAUCGCUAGUAAUCGUGGAUCAGAAUGCCACGGUGAAUACGUUCCCGGGCCUUGUACACACCGCCCGUCACACCAUGGGAGUGGGUUGCAAAAGAAGUAGGUAGCUUAACCUUCGGGAGGGCGCUUACCACUUUGUGAUUCAUGACUGGGGUGAAGUCGUAACAAGGUAACCGUAGGGGAACCUGCGGUUGGAUCACCUCCUUA
rnacentral:rRNA from 1 species